GAUGAACGCUGGCGGCGUGCCUAAUACAUGCAAGUCGAGCGAACAGACGAGGAGCUUGCUCCUCUGACGUUAGCGGCGGACGGGUGAGUAACACGUGGAUAACCUACCUAUAAGACUGGGAUAACUUCGGGAAACCGGAGCUAAUACCGGAUAAUAUAUUGAACCGCAUGGUUCAAUAGUGAAAGACGGUUUUGCUGUCACUUAUAGAUGGAUCCGCGCCGCAUUAGCUAGUUGGUAAGGUAACGGCUUACCAAGGCAACGAUGCGUAGCCGACCUGAGAGGGUGAUCGGCCACUCUGGAACUGCGACACGGUCCAGCCUCCUACGGGAGGCAGCAGUAGGGACUCUUCCGCAAUGGGCGAAAGCCUGACGGAGCAACGCCGCGUGAGUGAUGAAGGUCUUCGGUUCGUAAAACUCUGUUAUUCGGGAAGAACAAAUGUGUAAGUAACUAUGCCCGUCUUGACGGUACCUAAUCAGAAAGCCACGGCGAACUACGU
rnacentral:rRNA from 1 species